rnacentral:rRNA from 1 species
UACGUAGGGUGCAAGCGUUGUCCGGAAUUAUUGGGCGUAAAGAGCUUGUAGGCGGUUUGUCGCGUCUGCUGUGAAAUUUCGGGGCUCAACCCCGAACUUGCAGUGGGUACGGGCAGACUAGAGUGUGGUAGGGGAGACGUGGAAUUCCUGGUGUAGCGGUGAAAUGCGCAGAUAUCAGGAGGAACACCGAUGGCGGAAGGCAGGUCUCUGGGCCAUAACUGACGCUGAGAAGCGAAAGCAUGGGGAGCGAACAGG